CGGCAAAUGUUGGUUAUACACAACAAAAAUUUCAAUAUGCCCAAUACACUGCAUGUUUGAUUUAGUGUCGUUGACUAGAAUUAUUGUUCAUAGACUAUAAUUUAGUACUUAGAAGCUUGAUUGUUUUCUUAAUCAAGUGUUGACCUGUGAUCCAUGGCUCUCAAUCCAUGAACAUUAACUUAUUAUUUGCAAGUUUUAUAAGUUUUUGUUUUGUAUCAGGCGAUAAAACAUAAUUUUCACAGAUUCAAAAUGUACACUGGUACUAGUGCAGAUCAAGAUACUAGAUUUAGUGACAAAGAAAAAAAGUUGUUGAAGCAGAUGAAAUUUAGUGAAUCAUUAAAUGCUAAAGUUGAUAUGAACAAAGUUAAACUGGAUACAAUCAAACCAUGGAUUGGUAAACGUAUUACAGAAUUACUUGGUAUGGAAGAUGAUGUUGUUGAAGAGUUUGUAAAUAAUCAAUUGGAAGCUGAUACUUGUCCUGAUCCAAGGAAAAUGCAAAUAAAUCUCACUGGAUUUCUUAAUGGCAAAAAUGCUCGUGUGUUUAUGACUGACUUAUGGGAGUUACUUUUGUCUGCUCAGGAAUCUCCUUCUGGUAUUCCCCCAAAAUUUAUAGAACUCAAAAAAGAAGAACUGAAAAAAAAAAUUGAAGAUCAAGAGCGUGUUGGUGAUAUGUUAAAAAAAUUUGAAAAAGACAAAGAAGAAAGGGAAAAAGAACGAAAAAGAGAUAGAGAAAGACGAAGAAGUCGUAGUAGAUCUCGAACUCGUGAUCAUCGUAGUAGGUCACGAGAUCGUAGAAGUAGAUCACGAGAUCGCAGAAGUCGAUCUCGAGAUAGACACCGUGAAAGAAGAGAUAAAGACAGAUUUAAAGAUAAAGAACUUGAAAAAGCAAAAGAAAAAAACAAGCGAGAUUCCAGGUCUAAAUCUAAAGGGAAUAUUGUAAGUAAUGGACAUAGUUCACCAAAAAAUACUAAGAGUCGAAGCUGUACACCCAAUGGAAAAGAAUUAAAUGAAGAAAACAUAACAGAUAAACAUUCAAAAACUUUGGUAUCACCCAGUGUUGACAAAAAAGUGGAAUCCAAUAACAAAAUUAAAGAUCGUUCUUCUUCAAGAGAAUCAAUACCUCGUAAAGAACGAAAACAUCAUUCCUCUUCAUCAAGUCGUAGUUCAUCUCGAUCUAACUCUUCACGCAGUCCUGUUCACAAAAAAGAUAAUUUUGAAAUACAAAAGAAAGAAAAUAGUGUUCAAAAAAAGAGACAGUAUCGCACUAAUAAAGAUGAUUCUUCAGCUAGUGAAUCAGAAAAAGACAAAUCCUAUGACAAAAGGGAUCGACGAGAUCGAUCAGAUUCUCGUUCAAAAUAUCAAUCUAGACAAGCAUAUAGUAGAAAUCGUUAUCAAGAAAGAAAUCGGGAUCGUUACUACAGAGAAAGGGAACGUCGUGAUAGAGAAAGAAUUCGACGAGAUAGAGAACGUGAACGUCGAGAAAGAGAAAGAGCUUUUCGUGAACGUGAAAGACGAAGACAAAGAGACAGAGAACGAUCAUCUCCUCGAAGAAGGAGAUCCAGAAGUUUUGAAAGAAAAUCAAGAUCACCUAGUAGACGGUCCCACUCAAAUUCAAAACGUAAACCUUUUGUAAGAUCUCGCAGUAAAGAUCAUAUGAUCAAAGAAUCCAGCUCAAUCUCGCCCAUCAAAAAAGAUUCAUCCAAGAUCAAGGUUUCUCGUGAUAGUUUGUCCCGAACACCUUCGCCAUUCAAAAAAAGUGCUGAUAAAUCUACUAAAGAAAAACUUAGCGCUAAAGAAGAAAUACAAUCUAAAAGUAUCAACAAAAUGAGAAUUCAAUCUCCUUUAGGAAGUACUGAAAGAAAAUCUCAGAGUUUGUCAAAACGCAAAUCAUCAUCACCUGUUAACAAUAAAAACAAACAAGUAAAUAAAUUAGAUAAGACUCUUCAUACCAAAAGUUCAAAAAAAUCAGAAAUUUUAGUGUCUGAUAUUGAAAAGCCAAAACCCAAAAUAAAAGAUGAAACAUCUAGCUCAUCUGAUGAAUCGGUUAAAAAACACAAGAAAAAGUUUAAAAAAGAUUCAAGUUCAGAAGAUGAAAAAGUCAAAGCCAAAAAAAAGAAAACGAAGGAAAGUUGUUCAUCUGAUGAAGAUGAUUCUAAAAAGAAAAAGAAACGUAAAAGAAGAUCAUCUAGUUCAAGUUCUGAAAAUGUAUCUGAUGGCGAAGAAAAAAAAAAGAAGAAAGACAAAAAACAUAAAAAACACAAGAAACACAAGAAACAUAGAAAACAUAAAAAACGAAAGAUGGAAGAUAGUGGUUCAGAAGCCAAAUCAGGAGAUGAGUUAGAACAACGUUUAAGAGAAAAAGCUCUUCGCUCGAUGAAAAGAAAACAUGAAACAAAACAAGAUGGAAGUGUUAAUAGUAACAGCAGCGAUUAAUAUAAGAGGCAAACUAUUAUUUUCUUUAAAAGCAAUUAAAUUGUUGUAAUUCUACCAAUGAGAAUUUGGCAGGUUAAUCUUCUAUCCAGUCUUCAUGCUACCAAAACGAUAAUGGAGUUGUGCUUGUGUUAUAAAUAUAUUACAAAAUCUAUUUGGUGGUUUUUGAUUCACUAUCAAAUUUGUUAUCUUACAAUCAAAAUUUAUUUGAAAUCUACUAAACUCUGACUAUCAACUUCUAUUAAAACUGGAUAUCAUCAAUCACAAAUUUAUUCAAUGUUUGUAUUUUAACUCAUAAUGCUUGUAUCAAUUCAAUGUUAUUGUGUUCAUAAAUUAUUUAUUGUAAGGUGCAAAUUUAUAUUUUAAACAAAUAUAGAACUAUUCAUUGCUGGAAGUCUAUAACAUAAGAUGUAUCAGCUAUGAAUUAUUCAAGUAAUAAUACGUGAUUAUAUGAUAAUUUAUUGAAAUCUAUAUUAUAAUAAUCCGUAUGAUAAACAAAAUUUAUGACUUCAUUCAAAAGUUUAAUAUAUUUUACAAAAUGUAUAAUAAUCACUGUACUAUUAAAACAAAUUGUUUCAUAUGAAACAAUAUCUUUAAUGAACAAUUUACAAUUAGUGUUGAAAAAAACUCUAAUUAAAAAUGGAUAUUAUUUUAAUUUAUAUUUUUAUAUGCCUUUUUUAAAAGACAUUUUUUCAUAUUAAAUUCUUGUAGCUAAUAUUAAAUUUUGAUAUUUGUUUAUCAAAUAAACACAUUGUUUAACACUUUCAAAAUUUGAAAUUAUUUCACUUUUGAUUUUUUGAUAAAACUAAUUCACAUAAAAAAAAUUAAGUUAGUAAUCUACACCUUAAGUUUUUUAAUAAAGUUACUUAGAACUCACUAUAAUUAUGGUGGCAUCUUAUAUUAUAUUAUUAGUAAUUUACUAUAAGUUUAAAGUUUUUAGUAAAAAUUGUGUUGUGAUAUAUUUUAUUAAUUUAUAUUUUGUUAUAAUUUGUUAUAUGGUAAUAAAGAAAUAAAUAAUUAAGCCAUAAAACUAGUGACUUCUUGACAGAAGUAAAUUUAUAAAAUAUGUCAAACAAAAAUCUAGAUGAAAAACCAUCACAUAUGGUUCUUAAUUUAUCGGGACCACAUUUUUGUCCACAAAAUCCCAAGUUAGAUCUACAGUUAGAAUCACAAUUUAUAAUAGUGUAUGAUGGUAUCAAAAUUCAUUUAUAUUGUAAAAUCUUUAGAUAGAAAUAUACUGUCAUAUGUCACUAAUAUUAUGAUUCCACAUUCAAAUAAUGAGUACUUGUGACUAAAAUAAUUACAUAUCAGUAGACUGUCUGAAUCGGGAAAAAUUAAAUUAAAAACAUUAUUGUGUAAUUUUAUGUUAGGAGAUAAAAAAACUUAUUAAGAGAAACACAAGUUGGGAAGUAAAAGGUUAAAUUAAGAUCUAUUAAAAAGUUUAUAGUGUCAAUGUUAACCUAAAUAAAUGCAAGCAAUACUUGCAACUAGAAAAGAUUUCCAAUCUAUCAGAAAUGACAGACAAAAUCAAUGAAGUAAACCCAACUUAUUCCAUCUCAGUAUUAGUGACUGAUAAAAAUUGUAUUUUCAAGAACAACACAAAUUAAUUAACACUUGAAGAGCAAAUAGCUCAAAAAGGCAAUUGAAAAAUUUGAAAGACAUAGUCAGAAUAUAGAUUGAGUAAACUAUAAACACAUUUUAGGUUUAGAAACGGACGAAGAAGAA